GAUGAACGCUAGCGGCAGGCCUAAUACAUGCAAGUCGAACGGUAAGUAUGAUAGCAAUAUUAUACGAGAGUGACGUACGGGUGCGUAACACGUAUGCAACCUACCCAAAACAGGAGGAUAGCUCGGGGAAACUCGAAUUAACCCUCCAUGAGAUCAUAGAAUGGCAUCAUUCAGUGAUUAAAACUCAGGUGGUUUUGGAU
rnacentral:rRNA from 1 species